rnacentral:tRNA from 1 species
AAGUAGCCGCCGGAUGAACGGGUUUCAUUGAUGUUGAAAAAUAUAAAUUUUUAAAAUUUGCUACUUUA